rnacentral:rRNA from 1 species
AACGAACGCUGGCGGCAUGCCUAACACAUGCAAGUCGAACGCCUGUAGCAAUACAGGAGUGGCAGACGGGUGCAUAACACGUGGGAACCUGCCCUUGGGUUCGGAAUAACCGCGGGAAACUGCGGCUAAUACCGGAUACGUCCUCUGGGAGAAAGAUUCAUCGCCCUUGGAGGGGCCCGCGUCGGAUUAGCUAGUUGGUGAGGUAACGGCUCACCAAGGCGACGAUCCGUAGCUGAUCUGAGAGGAUGAUCAGCCACACUGGAACUGAGACACGGUCCAGACUCCUACGGGAGGCAGCAGUGGGGAAUAUUGGACAAUGGGGGCAACCCUGAUCCAGCAAUGCCGCGUGGGUGAUGAAGGCCUUCGGGUUGUAAAGCCCUUUUGGCAGGGACGAUGAUGACGGUACCUGCAGAAUAAGCCCCGGCUAAUUUCGUGCCAGCCGCCGCAGUAA